UGAGGUCUGUAUUCAGUGACACUUCGCGCUAAGCGCUCUCUGGCAUUGUUAUGCAGCAACACCGGCCUCUGGUGUUUCAUCGGCAGCUGGAAAUAGAACGUGCGGCUUCAACAAGUUCAAGGUUUUAACAUUGCUCCGGUAGAGGCGGGAUUCGAUUAUUACGCAGAGGAACUUCAUAAUCACACAUUCACACAACACUUCCUGAUAUGAUGCAGUGUGAGUCUGAUCCCCACACGUAGGCUUUAGCGGAAAGCAUGUGAAGUUUACAGCCUCAGGAAAAUGUCAGAAAUGCUUCGCAAAUUAAAUGGAGUUUGACUUUUUUUGCUUCAAUGGAAAAUGAUGGACAAUGUCUGCCUUUUAUUGAACAGAAACAGAAGUUGCUAUUCUGUCUUUUAUAGAUCUGACAUACAUUGUUGUUGUGGAUUAAAAAGAGAAUUACUGGAAACCCAGCAGAGGAAAAAGGGGAGGUGGCUGCUCCUAGUCAAUCCUGGACAUCAGUGAGGGAAGUCUGCUGCUCCAAGAGGUAAGUGUGCGCU